GCUAUAAUUACUUUAGAUUGAGAUGCUGGUGCAGAUGUUGCAAGCUGCCAGCAGCCCUCGCACGGACAGAGAAGCAAGGAUACUUGUAAUCGUUCCCGUUGAUUUUAUCAGGAUGCUGUAAAAGGCAAAGCGAGUAGGCGUACGAUCAUUUCGAGAAGUCAAAAGCUAACAAAGCGUGGUCGGAAUAAUAGACGCUCCUGUGGAGAAUAACCUAUCAGACAGCUCUUUGGCAAGGGUGUGAAAACUUGAUAGGAAAGCCAAACAAUCCGAUUCGUAGUGAAGAGAUUAAAAUCUCGUAUAACACGCUAUGUUGAACAAGUAGCCCAAUCUACGUUUGAAGAUAAUUCUUUCCGAAUGGCAUUUAUUCAAAAAGAAAAAUCCGAAAGCGGGUGAAAGUUAGAGGUUUCAAGCCUCUUGUCUCAACGGGCAGCGGCGUUUGAGUCGUUGUCGGGCUUAACUGCAUUAGGGUAGCUCCUUAAUGCACGGGUUAAGUUCGGGCAUGGCCGAAGAUGAUGAGUCGGAUGAUUGUAGGGUGAACAAAAGCCCCUCAAUCUUUUUUUUUGUUG
rnacentral:sRNA from 12 species